UAAUAAGUGUUUUAUGGCACUUUUUAGAUCCAUAUCCACCUUGUGUGCAAUGUCAGUCGAUCUUCUUCAUGGAGAUCGACCAAACAUCAACCUUUAUCUUUUAACUCUUUGUCUGAAUAAUAUUAUGAAUAAACAAUUCAAAAUA
rnacentral:misc_RNA from 1 species